GGGGGUAUAGCUCAGUGGUAAAGCACGUGCACAAGGUCCUGGGUUUAAUCCCCAGUGCCUCCG
rnacentral:tRNA from 1 species